AUCUGCUCCACCCAGAAAAAUGUUCUUUAGAAAACAAACAAAAAGCACAAAAAAUGGGAAGUACUGUUUACCAUAAUUUUAUCUUGGAGAUUCACAAUUUAUUUAAGUGGUCAAAAUCUCUGAGAAUUCUUACUGCACAACAAACAAAAAACCCUGUUAUUUUUAGAAUUUGUCAUUCAACAAACUUAUUUGAACAUGAUACCUUUGAUUAUAGAAUAUUUGAAUAUCUCUCGUAUUUUUCCUCAAGUUGUAAUUUGAGAAAAGUUGUCUUGAGCCUUCUCCAGAUGUCUUAUCUAUGUCCUCCCCCAGCCUUUUAUAAACAUACCCCGAGAUGGCAAACUAAAUGCAGGAGCUAAAAAGUCUCAUGUUCCCCUUUCAAACUAUGGUUAUAUUUAAUACCAGAGUCUUUUAGAAUCCAUUCACAGGACUUGAAUCCUGGAUCUGAGUUUGCAAAAGAAAUGAAGCUAAUGAAAGACAAGGAACUUCUGGUCUUAGUUGAGAUGCAAAAAGAAUUUCAAGGAGAAGUCAAGGAACAAAAAACAAUGGCCAAAAUCAUGAACUCCAUGAAUUUCAUCCACCAUAUAAUAAGGUAGAUGAUAUUCAUUUCCCACCAGGUGAAAGCUCUCAAGUCUGGAAGUCCUAAAUCAAGCUGAGGGCUGAGCCACGCUUCUUCCAAAGCUUCCAGGAGAGGACCCUUCUUUGCCUCUUCCAGCUUCUGGAAAACAUUUCCAUCUGGCUUUCCUCUGUCUGACUUAAACAAUGAUUUUCCAUCCUACCUGAACAUUAUAAUCAUCUGGAAGAGUUUUUUAAAAUACAGAUGCUAUUGCUACACCCAUGGAGCUUGUGUCUUACCAUCUGAUAUGGUUUGGCUGUGUCCGCACUCAACUCUCAUCAUGAAUUGUAGUUCCCGUAAUCCCCAUGUGUCAUGGGAGAGGCCUAGUGGAAGAUAAUCCUGUUUCUAAUUUCAAGAAACCAAUUUCUUCAUUAAGGAAUUUCCAUGGCAAAAUAACAAUUGUUCUUCAAAAACACCUGCAUCACUUAUUGUAAGUGUAACUAGCAUACUCAUAAUGUGUCACACAAAAACACCAAAACAUUUUAAUUUAAAAAAUAGUCAAAAAGUUCACUUCAAUCUCCUUGCUAGCAGGUAUUAUUUUCACAAAACAUUGUAAUCGUGUAAGCUUUCAGGUUUGAAUGUCAAGGUUUAGGGCCAAUCUUUGAAAUCUCAUACCCAUAAAUUUUGAGAUAUAUACAAAAAAUUUCCUCCAGUCUAACAUGAGAUAUCAGUGGCCUUGAUAGCAUGUCUUGCCUUGGUCUUAUCAGCAACUGGAAGUUGAAUGUGUUGCAACUUUGAAGAAUUUCCAUGAGGCCAUGGAAAACAAUGUUAAUUAUAUUUAUAACGAUCUCUUCUUGACUCUAUACUAAUCAGUUCUUACUCUCUGAGUCAGUGAGUUGUACUUGCCAAUGUUAUUCUUGUCCUUGC
rnacentral:lncRNA from 10 species